CCACGUGGUCAAAGUUUGGUGGA
rnacentral:siRNA from 1 species